rnacentral:rRNA from 1 species
GUGGGGAAUAUUGGACAAUGGGCGCAAGCCUGAUCCAGCCAUGCCGCGUGAGUGAUGAAGGCCCUAGGGUUGUAAAGCUCUUUCACCGGAGAAGAUAAUGACGGUAUCCGGAGAAGAAGCCCCGGCUAACUUCGUGCCAGCAGCCGCGGUAAUACGAAGGGGGCUAGCGUUGUUCGGAAUUACUGGGCGUAAAGCGCACGUAGGCGGACAUUUAAGUCAGGGGUGAAAUCCCGGGGCUCAACCCCGGAACUGCCUUUGAUACUGGGUGUCUGGAGUAUGGAAGAGGUAAGUGGAAUUCCGAGUGUAGAGGUGAAAUUCGUAGAUAUUCGGAGGAACACCAGUGGCGAAAGCGACUUCCUGGACCAAUACUGACGCUCAUGUGCGAAAGCGUGGGGAGCAAACAGGAUUAGAUACCCCUGUAGUCC